UGUAUAUAUAAUCUCUCAUCCCUUCGUCUUCCUUCUAUCCUCCUCCAUCAACAAAAAAGCUGCAAACUUUGGCUCUCUUUUUGCCCUAGUCUUUGUCGUGCGCUUACAACAGUUCAAGCUGCCAGCAUGAUCUAACCUUAAUCUCUCCUAAUUUUCGAUUCUCCUGAGGUUUAAGAUUAGAUCAUAUGGCAGUUUCACCUGUUGCUGGCUCCACGAAGAAUUCAGCCCUAAAUUCAAAUUUCUUGACCAUAUCAGCCGCUUUCUAUCCAUAAUCCUUAAAAAAGGUACGAAAUUUAUGUUCUUUGUCCCUAUUCCUCAUCUGGGUUUGUUGAAUUUUGUUCUGGGUCGCUCUCUUUUUGUGAAUUUCUUUAGGAUUUUGAUGAUUUUAAACAAGAAAAACAAGCAGAUCUCUGAUUUGUGAGGAAUUGGAGUUGGUUUUGUUGGGGGAUUUUCGAGAGAGAUUCAGAGUGAUUAGGGCAUUACAUUGAGGAUGAGAGAGAAAAAGAGGAUAAAUUUGUAAACAUGUGAUCUAUGUUUCUUCGUACUUGGUCGUGUUUUCUGGAUUACCAGUGUGUCUUAUCUAACACCAAACGAUGCAGAGAAGUGAAUAUGAUAACGAUAUUUCAGAACUAAAAUUUCGUCA